UGGGGAAUUUUGGACAAUGGGCGAAAGCCUGAUCCAGCAAUGCCGCGUGUGUGAAGAAGGCCUUCGGGUUGUAAAGCACUUUUGUCCGGAAAGAAAUGGCUCUGGUUAAUACCUGGGGUCGAUGACGGUACCGGAAGAAUAAGGACCGGCUAACUACGUGCCAGCAGCCGCGGUAAUACGUAGGGUCCAAGCGUUAAUCGGAAUUACUGGGCGUAAAGCGUGCGCAGGCGGUUGUGCAAGACCGAUGUGAAAUCCCGAGCUUAACUUGGGAAUUGCAUUGGUGACUGCACGGCUAGAGUGUGUCAGAGGGGGGUAGAAUUCCACGUGUAGCAGUGAAAUGCGUAGAGAUGUGGAGGGAAUACCGAUGGCGAAGGCAGCCCCCUGGGAUAACACUGACGCUCAUGCACGAAAGCGUGGGGAGCAAACAGGAUUAGAUACCCUGGUAGUCCACGCCCUAAACGAUGUCAACUAGUUGUUGGGGAUUCAUUUCCUUAGUACGUAGCUAACGCGUGAAGUUGACCGCCUGGGGAGUACGGUCGCAAG
rnacentral:rRNA from 1 species